rnacentral:rRNA from 1 species
UACGUAGGGUGCUAGCGUUGUCCGGAUUUAUUGGGCGUAAAGGGCUCGUAGGCGGUGUGUCGCGUCGGCCGUGAAAACCUGGGGCUCAACUCUGGGCGUGCGGUCGAUACGGGCAUCACUUGAGUUCGGCAGGGGAGACUGGAAUUCCUGGUGUAGCGGUGAAAUGCGCAGAUAUCAGGAGGAACACCGGUGGCGAAGGCGGGUCUCUGGGCCGAUACUGACGCUGAGGAGCGAAAGCAUGGGUAGCGAACAGG